rnacentral:rRNA from 1 species
AACGAACGCUGGCGGCAUGCCUAACACAUGCAAGUCGAACGCUCUUGGGGUUUCGGCCUCGAGGGAGUGGCGCACGGGUGAGUAGCGCGUGGGAACCUGCCCUGGAGUGGGGGAUAACCGAGGGAAACUUCGGCUAAUACCGCAUGCGCCCCCGGAUUUCGGUCUGGGGGGAAAGAUUUAUCGCUCGAGGAGGGGCCCGCGUCGGAUUAGCUGGUUGGUGGGGUAACGGCCUACCAAGGCGAUGAUCCGUAGCUGGUCUGAGAGGAUGAUCAGCCACACUGGGACUGAGACACGGCCCAGACUCCUACGGGAGGCAGCAGUGGGGAAUAUUGGACAAUGGGCGCAAGCUUGAUCCAGCAAUGCCGCGUGAGUGAUGAAGGCCUUAGGGUUGUAAAGCUCUUUCGCCCGCGACGAUGAUGACGGUAGCGGGAGAAGAAGCCCCGGCUAACUUCGUGCCAGCCGCCGCGGUAAAAC